GAUGAACGCUGGCGGCGUGCCUAAUACAUGCAAGUCGAGCGAACGGACGAGAAGCUUGCUUCUCUGAUGUUAGCGGCGGACGGGUGAGUAACACGUGGAUAACCCACCUAUAAGACUGGGAUAACUUCGGGAAACCGGAGCUAAUACCGGCUUAUCUUCUGAACCGCAUGGUUCAAAAGUGAAAGACGGUCUUGCUGUCACUUAUAGCUGGAUCCGCGCUGCAUUAGCUAGUUGGUAAGGUAACGGCUUACCAAGGCAACGAUGCAUAGCCGACCUGAGAGGGUGAUCGGCCACACUGGAACUGAGACACGGUCCAGACUCCUACGGGAGGCAGCAGUAGGGAAUCUUCCGCAAUGGGCGAAAGCCUGACGGAGCAACGCCGCGUGAGUGAUGAAGGUCUUCGGGUCGUAAAACUCUGUUAUUAGGGAAGAACAUAUGUGUAAGUAACUGUGCACAUCUUGACGGUACCUAAUCAGAAAGCCACGGCUAACUACGUG
rnacentral:rRNA from 1 species